UUGUUUUCGUCCUACGCGACGAAAGAAAACACGACCACCGCAACUAAAGGAGUGCGCCUGCAAUUUCAGUUAGUAAACGACAAAUGCUCUGUCUUGAAGCAGAACGCAAAAGAUGGCAUGUAAAGCCAGUGAUUAUGAGGCACAGGGAGGGACAGCACAGUUUCCCGUGCGGAUACGACAACAGGGAGAUGGACGACAGAUUCAGAGUUGCCAACUUCGGUCAGCUGGCUGGCGUGAACUUUUCAAUUCCAGACAAGUCUGCACACAUAUUUACAGUUAUGUAUCCGUUUCAUUAUCACCUUCUAAAUAGUUUGUAGGGUUUGCAAACUACCCCGAUGCUUUUGAUGUAGUUCAUUUGUCUGAAAGUGUGAGCGUCACGCCUGAUGCGCGAGAGUUGGCAACCCUGGAGAUGCAUUUCGGAUAUUAAACAAUGUCAGCAGAUAGAUUUGAUCAUUUGGUGUGUCGCCAUCGCCCAUUUAUUGCACAUCAGUCUACGCACAAUACGCCUACUGACGUUCCCGAGAGACUGGCAAUUACCCAUCGUGUCCUAGUUUCAAGUGUGGAAGCUAACAGGCUGGUUUGCUACGAAGCAGGUUCAAGUACAACAUGCUCCGUAAUAAGGAACAUGGAAAGUACAGCAGUCGGUGUUAUUUCCUCGCUCGUCUAUAUAACAACAGGAAACUUGCGGUUGAGUUCUGGCGACUGUGGAAAUUUCCAAACUGUGCCGGCAGUAUAUACGAAAAACAUCACAUCAAGGCACCAGUGCUUGCUGGUCGCGACUACUUUAAUUUCAACGGCACACACUUAGCUGUCCAUGAUGGCCACACAAAUACAGGUUUACCAAUGCGGUAAAGUCACGGUUGCACUUUUAGGGAAGAAUACCACGGCAUUUGAUAGCAUGCAAAUAACUGAUGUCAUCUGCACAGCCUGGGUGACGUCGCCUCACCUGUCACCAAGGUUUUUCGCUCUUUUAAAACCAGGAGAAUUUGACUGAAUUGGAUAUUACCAAGCUCAGGUGUGUCUCAAAUGGGGAAAAAAGAACAUCUAACACAAAGUGACAACCCAAAGUACUUAAGACAAUAUUUUAACAUUUAAACAUUAAAAUGUCAGCAGUAAAAUCUGCCAUGAGCCACAUGCAACUAAACAAUAAAACAAGCAAAAACAUACAGCUGAAUUACCAGGGAUGGAUUAAGGUAUCUGGGGUCCCCAGGCUGACACCAGAAGCAGUUGAUGCACAUCCAGGGCUUGUUGACCCAAACGUCCCAUGCAAGUGACCCAUGUAACAACGGUCUCGUGGAUCAGGCAGACACAGAGGACCAGCCCUGUGGCUGUUCCACGGAGGACCAUCUUGGUUGGGACAGCAGCCAGUGCUGCUGUGUCCACCUCAGGACCACCUCUGACCAGGCCCGGGCCGGCACAGGCAGAACAGAAAACUGCUGCAGGCCGGGAUGUCAGGCCCACAGAACACCACAGCACCUAGACCCCCUCAGGCACCCUCCUGCAGAAAGGGAGGGGAAGGAGCUAGCUGGGGUGUAUCAUGCCGUGGGGAGCGAUGGAGAUUCAGCAUGCUCUCGGAACAUGUGUCCCGGCCAGCAGGGGGAGCCCAAGGCCUGCUUCGCCACGUGACACAGCCCCUCAGUGCUGCUGGUUAAUGUAGACAGUGUAUGGAGAGGCCACGCCCACUCGCUUUAUCCCAGGUGCAUGUUCUACCUCAUUACGCAUGAGUACCCAGCAUGCCUUGGUCUGGGGCCUCCUUCAGAGUCGGGAUCCCAAAAUCCUGUGUGCCCAUUGUGAACUUGCGCAUUUGUACACGACAAGCUUAGAAUGUACCAUGAGCAUCUAAUUUCUUUGGAAUGUAGUACUUAAUACUCAAGAUUGUAUAGUUAUGCAAAUAUCGUGCGUAUUUUUUUGCAAUUUUUUUAUCCGAAGCAAAGAUGGUAAAUAUUUUUAAUUAUAAUGCCUAGUCUCAGUAUUUCCUCUUUACAUUGUGGUUACUACCCAUCGUGGAACAGGUGGAUACAUUUUUGGUAGCCCUACACGUUCCAUGCGAACUUGAAGCUGACCAGGAAGAGAAGUGGGAGCAAAAGAUUAUGGGAGCAGCAUGGGAAAUGCUGAUGCUUCUGAAUAUUGUAUUGAUUACGCAUGAUAGGCACUUCUUUGCCCAGUUGUUGCAGCAUAACAAUUUUAAUUGCAAUAGAUAAAGCUGAGGUUGUCUGCAUAUAUUCAAAGCAAAGGCUCGAACUGAACUACGUUACUUGCAUGAGUUUUCGGAGCUGGUUUGUAGCGACUGCCCUCUGGAGAAUUUAUCUUGCUGUUGGCAUGUUGGCAUUACCCAGGUAUGAAUGUGUGUAUAUAGAAUUUUAUGAAAUAUCGUUUAAUGCUUGAACCACGGCACCUUCUCCAUCGCUGGGCUUUUAGACAUUCUAUCUAUUUAUGAUGUAUAUUUUGAUAUAAUGUUUUGGCUACAUAUUUUUAUGUAACGAAAUUUCUACUGUUUUGUGCAAAUAUGGCGUGGAGGGUGGUUGGCAUCCCAGGUGGCAGUAAGGUCUGCUUCACCAAGACUUUAGAGAUGCUUGUCUGGCACAUAAUGGCAACCAGCUCACGUGAGACCCAGGGGGGGCUGUAGGUACUUAGGAAAGAAUGUGUCUUUCCACCCCUCGGACCUGACUGCUGUAUUUGGAGCUGCAGACUUGGUUUCCCAUGGAAACCAGACAAGUAAAUAAACGUAGGCUUAGUGGUUACUGCUGUGUUCAUGAGUUAUCUUGCUGCAUAUCUGGACUGAACGGAGGUCCUUAUCCCUUUUAGGCAACUGAAGCGCUCACAUUUUAUUUAAGUGGAGAUCCGCCAAAACCUGGAAUGAAAAUACCUAGAUGCUAAUUAACAUCACCUGUCAUCUUGCAGCUUUGAGUACUCGUAAGAGCAGAAAAGCGCUAUAUAAAUGCAGUCCAUUUACCAUUUACCAUGAUGUUUGACGGGGCCCUAGGUUAUAGUAUACGAUAGCCUAUGCAUUCGCCUGCCCCUCUUAAUCACGUAUAAAGUUUAAUUAGGCGACAUCAAGUCAGCUAGUACAAUUUAUUCAUUGUGAGUGCCGACGGCCGCUUUUUAAACUAGGCAUUGCAAGCAAAACGCCGGAACAUAACGUUAAUGAUCCAGCUUAAUCAGUCGCUUCUUUCUAGAACGGAAACAGUUUCCACUUCAGGCUCUGACAGCACGAGCAUCCCAGCAGCCCCUCCCAAUAAUAAAAAUAAAUAAACGAAACGGGUAUUUGACAAAGGAACCGCGGGCACUGAUAACCGGUCCGACAAAGAAUCCCAUUCACGGUCCGAAUAAUGAGACGACUGUCCCGUUUAGUGACAUGGAACCCAGCUGCUGUCAGGUAAGGGGGG